UACAGAGGUCUCAAGCGUUUGUUCGGAUUCAUUGGGCGUAAAGGGUGCGUAGGCGGCGCGGUAAGUCGGAUGUGAAAUCUCGGAGCUUAACUUCGAAACUGCAUUCGAUACUGCCGUGCUUGAGGACUGGAGAGGAGACUGGAAUUUACGGUGUAGCGGUGGAAUGCGUAGAUAUCGUAAGGAAGACCAGUGGCGAAGGCGGGUCUCUGGACAGUUCCUGACGCUGAGGCACGAAGGUCAGGGGAGCAAAACGGG
rnacentral:rRNA from 1 species